GUGAUUGCUUCAACAUCACGUAUACUAAAAUUGGAACAAUACAGAGAAAAUUAGCAUGGUCCCUGCGCAAGGAUGACAUGAAAAUUCAUGAGGUGUUCCAUAUUGUU
ensembl:snRNA U6 U6 spliceosomal RNA